AUUGAUCGCUGGCGGCAGGCCUAACACAUGCAAGUCGAGCGGAUGAAGGGAGCUUGCUCCUGGAUUCAGCGGCGGACGGGUGAGUAAUGCCUAGGAAUCUGCCUGGUAGUGGGGGAUAACGUCCGGAAACGGGCGCUAAUACCGCAUAUGUCCUGAGGGAGAAAGUGGGGGAUCUUCGGACCUCACGCUAUCAGAUGAGCCUAGGUCGGAUUAGCUAGUUGGUGGGGUAAAGGCCUACCAAGGCGACGAACCGUAACUGGUCUGAGAGGAUGAUCAGUCACACUUGAAAUGAAGCACAGUCCAGACUCCUACGGGGAGCAGCAGUGGGGAAUAUUGGACAAGGAGCGGAAGCCUGAUACAGCCAUGCCGCGUGUUUGAUGAAGGUCUUCGGAUUGUAAAACACUUUAAGUAGGGAGAAAGGGCAGUAAGUUAAUACCUUGCUGUUUUGACGUUACCAACAGAAUAAGCACCGGCUAACUUCGUG
rnacentral:rRNA from 1 species